UACGAAGGGGGGCUAGCGUUGCUCGGAAUCACUGGGCGUAAAGGGUGCGUAGGCGGGUCUUUAAGUCAGGGGUGAAAUCCUGGAGCUCAACUCCAGAACUGCCUUUGAUACUGAAGAUCUUGAGUUCGGGAGAGGUGAGUGGAACUGCGAGUGUAGAGGUGAAAUUCGUAGAUAUUCGCAAGAACACCAGUGGCGAAGGCGGCUCACUGGCCCGAUACUGACGCUCAUGUGCGAAAGCGUGGGGAGCAAACAGG
rnacentral:rRNA from 1 species